UUAAGUUAUUAAGGGCGCACGGUGGAUGCCUUGGCACUAGAAGCCGAUGAAGGACGUUACUAACGACGAUAUGCUUUGGGGAGCUGUAAGUAAGCUUUGAUCCAGAGAUUUCCGAAUGGGGAAACCCAGCAUGAGUUAUGUCAUGUUAUCGAUAUGUGAAUACAUAGCAUAUCAGAAGGCACACCCGGAGAACUGAAACAUCUUAGUACCCGGAGGAAGAGAAAGAAAAUUCGAUUCCCUUAGUAGCGGCGAGCGAAACGGGAAGAGCCCAAACCAACAAGCUUGCUUGUUGGGGUUGUAGGACACUCUAUACGGAGUUACAAAGGACGACAUUAGACGAAUCAUCUGGAAAGAUGAAUCAAAGAAGGUAAUAAUCCUGUAGUCGAAAAUGUUGUCUCUCUUGAGUGGAUCCUGAGUACGACGGAGCACGUGAAAUUCCGUCGGAAUCUGGGAGGACCAUCUCCUAAGGCUAAAUACUCUCUAGUGACCGAUAGUGAACCAGUACCGUGAGGGAAAGGUGAAAAGCACCCCGGAAGGGGAGUGAAAUAGAACCUGAAACCGUGUGCUUACAAGUAGUCAGAGCCCGUUAAUGGGUGAUGGCGUGCCUUUUGUAGAAUGAACCGGCGAGUUACGAUUUGAUGCAAGGUUAAGCAGUAAAUGUGGAGCCGUAGCGAAAGCGAGUCUGAAUAGGGCGUUUAGUAUUUGGUCGUAGACCCGAAACCAGGUGAUCUACCCUUGGUCAGGUUGAAGUUCAGGUAACACUGAAUGGAGGACCGAACCGACUUACGUUGAAAAGUGAGCGGAUGAACUGAGGGUAGCGGAGAAAUUCCAAUCGAACCUGGAGAUAGCUGGUUCUCUCCGAAAUAGCUUUAGGGCUAGCCUCAAGUGAUGAUUAUUGGAGGUAGAGCACUGUUUGGACGAGGGGCCCCUCUCGGGUUACCGAAUUCAGACAAACUCCGAAUGCCAAUUAAUUUAACUUGGGAGUCAGAACAUGGGUGAUAAGGUCCGUGUUCGAAAGGGAAACAGCCCAGACCACCAGCUAAGGUCCCAAAAUAUAUGUUAAGUGGAAAAGGAUGUGGCGUUGCCCAGACAACUAGGAUGUUGGCUUAGAAGCAGCCAUCAUUUAAAGAGUGCGUAAUAGCUCACUAGUCGAGUGACACUGCGCCGAAAAUGUACCGGGGCUAAACAUAUUACCGAAGCUGUGGAUUGUCCUUUGGACAAUGGUAGGAGAGCGUUCUAAGGGCGUUGAAGCAUGAUCGUAAGGACAUGUGGAGCGCUUAGAAGUGAGAAUGCCGGUGUGAGUAGCGAAAGACGGGUGAGAAUCCCGUCCACCGAUUGACUAAGGUUUCCAGAGGAAGGCUCGUCCGCUCUGGGUUAGUCGGGUCCUAAGCUGAGGCCGACAGGCGUAGGCGAUGGAUAACAGGUUGAUAUUCCUGUACCACCUAUAAUCGUUUUAAUCGAUGGGGGGACGCAGUAGGAUAGGCGAAGCGUGCGAUUGGAUUGCACGUCUAAGCAGUAAGGCUGAGUAUUAGGCAAAUCCGGUACUCGUUAAGGCUGAGCUGUGAUGGGGAGAAGACAUUGAGUCUUCGAGUCGUUGAUUUCACACUGCCGAGAAAAGCCUCUAGAUAGAAAAUAGGUGCCCGUACCGCAAACCGACACAGGUAGUCAAGAUGAGAAUUCUAAGGUGAGCGAGCGAACUCUCGUUAAGGAACUCGGCAAAAUGACCCCGUAACUUCGGGAGAAGGGGUGCUCUUUAGGGUUAACGCCCAGAAGAGCCGCAGUGAAUAGGCCCAAGCGACUGUUUAUCAAAAACACAGGUCUCUGCUAAACCGUAAGGUGAUGUAUAGGGGCUGACGCCUGCCCGGUGCUGGAAGGUUAAGAGGAGUGGUUAGCUUCUGCGAAGCUACGAAUCGAAGCCCCAGUAAACGGCGGCCGUAACUAUAACGGUCCUAAGGUAGCGAAAUUCCUUGUCGGGUAAGUUCCGACCCGCACGAAAGGCGUAACGAUUUGGGCACUGUCUCAACGAGAGACUCGGUGAAAUCAUAGUACCUGUGAAGAUGCAGGUUACCCGCGACAGGACGGAAAGACCCCGUGGAGCUUUACUGUAGCCUGAUAUUGAAAUUCGGCACAGCUUGUACAGGAUAGGUAGGAGCCUUUGAAACGUCGUGAGCGCUAGCUUACGUGGAGGCGCUGGUGGGAUACUACCCUAGCUGUGUUGGCUUUCUAACCCGCACCACUUAUCGUGGUGGGAGACAGUGUCAAGCGGGCAGUUUGACUGGGGCGGUCGCCUCCUAAAAGGUAACGGAGGCGCUCAAAGGUUCCCUCAGAAUGGUUGGAAAUCAUUCAUAGAGUGUAAAGGCAUAAGGGAGCUUGACUGCGAGACCUACAAGUCGAGCAGGGUCGAAAGACGGACUUAGUGAUCCGGUGGUUCCGCAUGGAAGGGCCAUCGCUCAACGGAUAAAAGCUACCCCGGGGAUAACAGGCUUAUCUCCCCCAAGAGUUCACAUCGACGGGGAGGUUUGGCACCUCGAUGUCGGCUCAUCGCAUCCUGGGGCUGUAGUCGGUCCCAAGGGUUGGGCUGUUCGCCCAUUAAAGCGGUACGCGAGCUGGGUUCAGAACGUCGUGAGACAGUUCGGUCCCUAUCCGUCGUGGGCGUAGGAAAUUUGAGAGGAGCUGUCCUUAGUACGAGAGGACCGGGAUGGACAUACCUCUGGUGUACCAGUUGUCGUGCCAACGGCAUAGCUGGGUAGCUAUGUGUGGACGGGAUAAGUGCUGAAAGCAUCUAAGCAUGAAGCCCCCCUCAAGAUGAGAUUUCCCAACUUCGGUUAUAAGAUCCCUCAAAGAUGAUGAGGUUAAUAGGUUCGAGGUGGAAGCAUGGUGACAUGUGGAGCUGACGAAUACUAAUCGAUCGAAGACUUAAUCAA
rnacentral:rRNA from 1 species